rnacentral:rRNA from 1 species
AUGAGCUUUGUGUUCCGGGGCAGCAGGGCCGACAUCGAGGCCGGUGGCUUCCCAGGGUUUGCCGCGGAGCGCCGUUCCAUGCGGAUUCAUGCCGGGGGGCGGCCGGUGAACAGCAAUUCCUUAGCUUUUCUUGUAACUGUUCUUGUUUUGUUCAUGGUACUGAGCUCGCACCAGAUGUCUCCGAACUUUUUGCUUUGGAUGGUCUUAGGUGUGUUCCUAUUGGCCACCAGCCUUAGGAUGUACGCUACAUGCCAGCAGCUCCAAGCGCAGUCUCAAGCUCAUGCUGCAGACGGCAACGGCUUCCUUGGACGCACAGAGUUGCGGGUGCAUGUCCCGCCAACCAUAGCCCUUGCUUCGAGAGGCCGGUUGCAAAGCCUUAGACUCCAACUUGCUCUGCUUGACCGCGAGUUUGAUGAUUUAGAUUAUGAUGCUCUCAGAGCGCUAGAUACUGACAAUAGCCCACAUGCUCCUUCUAUGACUGAAGAAGAAAUAAAUACUCUGCCUGUUUUCAGAUACAAAUUUCAGGCGCAGCAGAGGAGCACCCCUUCUCGAAAAAGUAGUGAUGGGCCAUCUGAACCAUUGGUUUCUUCUCCUGAAUCCGGCAAGGAGAAAAAGCAAGAUGCAGAUGCAACAAGCAAAAUGACAGAUGAUGAGUUGACGUGCAGUGUUUGCUUAGAGCAAGUUGUCGCGGGUGAUCUAUUGAGAAGCCUGCCAUGCUUGCAUCGGGUAAUUAUCAUACUGAUCAUCUUGCAGUUGUUUUCUUCAUUUUGA